rnacentral:rRNA from 1 species
AUUGAACGCUGGCGGCAGGCCUAACACAUGCAAGUCGAACGGUAACAGGAAACAGCUUGCUGUUUCGCUGACGAGUGGCGGACGGGUGAGUAAUGUCUGGGAAACUGCCUGAUGGAGGGGGAUAACUACUGGAAACGGUAGCUAAUACCGCAUAACGUCGCAAGACCAAAGAGGGGGACCUUCGGGCCUCUUGCCAUCGGAUGUGCCCAGAUGGGAUUAGCUAGUAGGUGGGGUAACGGCUCACCUAGGCGACGAUCCCUAGCUGGUGUGAGAGGAUGACCAGCCACACUGGAACUGAGACACGGUCCAGACUCCUACGGGAGGCAGCAGUGGGGAAUAUUGCACAGUGGGCGCAAGCCUGAUGCAGCCAUGCCGCGUGUAUGAAGAAGGCCUUCGGGUUGUAAAGUACUUUCAGCGGGGAUGAAGGGAGUAAAGUUAAUACCUUUGCUCAUUGACGUUACCCGCAGAAGAAGCACCGGCUAACUCCGUG